GGACGAUAAUGACGGUACUUUAGGAGGAAGCUCCGGCUAACUACGUGCCAGCAGCCGCGGUAAUACGUAGGGAGCGAGCGUUGUCCGGAAUUACUGGGUGUAAAGGGAGCGUAGGCGGGACUGCAAGUCAGAUGUGAAAUGCCGGGGCUUAACCCCGGAGCUGCAUUUGAAACUGUGGUUCUUGAGUGAAGUAGAGGCAAGCGGAAUUCCUGGUGUAGCGGUGAAAUGCGUAGAUAUCAGGAGGAACACCGGUGGCGAAGGCGGCUUGCUGGGCUUUUACUGACGCUGAGGCUCGAAAGCGUGGGUAGCAAACAGGAUUAGAUACCCUGGUAGUCCACGCUGUAAACGAUGAUUACUAGGUGUGGGGGGACUGACCCCUUCCGUGCCGCAGUUAACACAAUAAGUAAUCCACCUGGGGAGUACGGCCGCAAGGUUGAAACUCAAAGGAAUUGACGGGGGCCCGCACAAGCAGUGGAGUAUGUGGUUUAAUUCGAAGCAACGCGAAGAACCUUACCAGGUCUUGACAUCGUAUGCAUACCAUAGAGAUAUGGGAAAUUCCUUCGGGAACAUAUAGACAGGUGGUGCAUGGUUGUCGUCAGCUCGUGUCGUGAGAUGUUGGGUUAAGUCCCGCAACGAGCGCAACCCUUACCUUUAGUUGCUACGCAAGAGCACUCUAAAGGGACUGCCGUUGACAAAACGGAGGAAGGUGGGGAUGACGUCAAAUCAUCAUGCCCCUUAUGACCUGGGCUACACACGUACUACAAUGGCAAUCAACAAAGAGAAGCGAGACAGUGAUGUGGAGCGAAUCUCAAAAAAUUGUCCCAGUUCGCAUUGC
rnacentral:rRNA from 1 species